GAUGAAGAACGCAGCGAAAUGCGAUAAGUAAUGUGAAUUGCAGAAUUCAGUGAAUCAUCGAAUCUUUGAACGCACAUUGCGCCCCUUGGUAUUCCGAGGGGCAUGCCUGUUCGAGCGUCAUUAUAACCCUCAAGCUCAGCUUGGUGUUGGGGCCUGCUGCACUGGCAGCCCUUAAAAUCAGUGGCGGCGCCAUCUGGCUCUAAGCGUAGUAAUUCUUCUCGCUAUGGAGUCCUGGUGGAUGCUUGCCAUCAACCCCCAAUUUUUCUAUGGUUGAGCUCGGAUCAGGUAGGGAUACCCGCUGAACUUAAGCAUAUCAAUAAGCGGAGGA
rnacentral:misc_RNA from 1 species